CGCAACUUGCGCUCUCUGGUAUUCCGGAGAGCAUGCCUGUUUGAGUGUCAUGAAAUCUCAACCACUAGGGUUUCCUAAUGGAUUGGAUUUGGGUGUUGCCAGCUUGUCUGGCUCGCCUUAAAGGAGUUAGCGAGUAUAGCAAUAUCGUCUGGCGUAAUAAGUUUCGCUGGUAAGAUUUGUGAAGCACGCUUCUAAUCGCCCUUGGGCAAUUUUUUGACUCUGGCCUCAAAUCAGGUAGGACUACCCGCUGAACUUAA
rnacentral:misc_RNA from 1 species